GAAGCCGUUCACGGUCAUGCCUUGCAGGAAGGAGGCCACGCAGAGGAAGAACAAGACGCCCUUGGACGUGUUGCAGAGCUGUCUUGAAGGCACUGGAACAAGAGGAUUUGGCAGAAGGUGAUGCUCAGAACAGCACCAAGGUCCUGUUCCCACCCCAGAAGGGCAGAUCACAUGUGCUACCAAAUAUUAAACAUUCAGGACAGUAAUGCUACAACAGGUCUGGUCCUUAAGGUAAGUUAAACAAAUGAGAUCCACCUUUCAUUUGCAAAAUUUUAUUUUAAUUACCCAGUCUGAGGAGCAGAGUGCAUGGACUAUUUCAGGGUUCAGAUUUCAGCAUGAAUUUGAUGCAGAGCAGGUGAGCCUGGCAGAAAGGAAGGCAUGGCUUUGCAGCUCCACGCUGGACUCCUCCAGCUGGUUCCAGAGUGCCAACAUUACUGAGUCAACGCAGCACAAGUAGCAAGGCAAUGAAAGCAUAUGAUUUGUAUUUCCUGAUGAAAUCUGUAAAGCCUCCCCCCUAAUAUUUAGCAUUAAAUCAAUAGUAAAAUUUACAA